GGGGGAGGCAGUCUGGGGAGUCCAAGUGGGGGCCAGUCCUGACGUGUGAUAUCAUCUCCAGGUCAGACGUCAACUGGUACAGGUGGUCAACCCCGCCCACAUACAGACGCCCCGCCCCAGAGUCCAGCAGCAGGAGCCUCAGAUCUCGACAGCUGCAGACUGACCUCAGCACAGCCGCUCCACUUCAAACCCACUGGACCAGAUCUGGACCUGAACCUGGUCUUGACUGAACGGGAUCCAGACUGGACCAGAGGACAGACAGAAACCGGCUGCAGUCCCACCACCACCACAACGAGAUCCUGAGGGGUUCUGGGACCUGAAACUGGACCUGGACAGGCUGUAGACAGCAUCAGCAAAUCCUGAAGCUGCAGGGCUUUGUCCUCUGAGUCUCAGUAUGAACCAGUUUCUGUUCUGAUCCGGUCUGAAAGGAGCUGAUUGGUCUUUUGUCCUCAGACUGCAGACGAGAAUCUGAGGGUUUUAAAGCGUCACAUGAUCAUCGUCAUCAUCAGUGUGUUUUAGCCACGGUGAAGCUGCGGAGCUGUCCUC